CAUGUCAGGCCACAGGUGUUACCUGAUGUAUUCAAGUGCAAAUUCUGAAAUGUAUUUACAGAACCAAACAAAACACAUUCGUAUGUCUGGUUUCGAGAGUGCAUCUAAUAGCUAAUAACCAGGUCAUUUAAUUCCUCCAGAUUAACAAUUAUGGGAUAUUUCGUCUGUCUUCGAUGUCUCCGUCUGCCUCAUAGGCUUUUGAUUUAACAAAAGUAGCACUUGUCUGUAGGACUUCCUUCCUGAAACAUUGCAAUCAGUUUAUUUUUUCACUUCCUGUAAUACGGCAAAAACAGCCCUAAGCCACUGCAAGUGAUGCUGCUGGGUAGAAACUGAUAUGGUGACAGUAAGAUAAUUUGAGAGAAAAAGGGAUCUGUGGUGAAAUAAGAUUUAAAAAAUGUAACAUAAAAUUCUAUCUGAUGAUUCUCCUUUACUUGCCAGGUGAGUUUAACACAAACCAUUUUUGUUGUUGUUGAUUACAAUUGCAGACAAUUUUUGUUGAUUAUUUUCUUUGUGAAAUAGACUCCUGCAUAGUGCAAAUUGUAUAGAAUAUACUUCUGCCGAACAAUUCCACAAAGUUUUUGUUUAUUUCACGUUUCAACUAUUAUUUGUUAUUAUGAUAAAGAAUAACAUUGUUUUCUCUUUUAUCAAGUUUUAAGCUGUUAUGCAAAAAGGAGCAAAAUUGGAGAGCAUGGAAAUGAAGGUGGAUCUUUAGACAUUAAGUGUUCAUAUCCAGAUGGAUAUUAAUAUAAGCCCUAAUAUUUGUCGCCACCCCUGUUCCUACAGUGACAUUCUCAUCAGAAGUGUGUAAGCGGACACAUUUGUCACAGUAGGAAGAUUUUCUGUGUAUGACAAUGUCCAUGGACAUACUUUCAUUGCCACCAUCAAAAACCUGAAAUUACAGGACUCUGGACUUUACUAUUGUGGACUUGAUCAGUGGGGAAGAGAUGUUUUAACAAAAGUAGAUGUCUCUGUGAGUAAAGGUAUGCAUAUUGUUUUGCUUUGAUUCCAUUUGAUUGUCUUUGAAUGCACAAAAAUCAUACUCGGCCUACCCUCUACUGUUUCUACCCACAGCUUCAUUGGUCACUUCACUGUUAACACCUGAUAGGAAGGACACCACAGAAACAAACAUAUGUGUCCCCAGAGGUCCCCACAUUUACGCUGGUUGAUAUAACCUUAAAUAGCUUAAAAAAUAAGCUCCUAUUGUACAAUUAUUUUCUUAUUCUAAUAAAUCUUCCAUUUAUCUUCUGUAUGCUUUUGUUAUGUCACUUUAAUGGUGCCAUGCAAAAACUUACCUGUUGCAGAUUGGGAUGUCGAGCCAACAUCCUCAUCGAUUCUGAUUGACAGCACAGGUUUUGUAAGUGUCCAUGUUGUUGUGGGAGCUGUCUGACUGUUGAUGUGUUGCACUGUGGUUGCACUUUGUGUAUUCUUCAGAAAACUAUCAAUGCCGUGCUCACUGAGUAAGACCAAGUUCCCUUUCUUUGAUAUCGUACCCACAUAUAAUGCAGUUACAAUAAUAGUAUUUGUUUUUGAUAUGUUGAAGCCUCUAAUUUGUGUCCCUCAGCAUUUCCAGCAUCUAAAGUAUCAGAUCCUGUAGCCAUUGCACAGGUGAAUUGGAUCUUUGUUUAUGCUUUAUCAUAGUUUGAAUAAGAUUUUGCAUGUCCUCAUCAGACAGCCGUCAUUCUGCACCAACUCGGUCAACAAAUAAACUCUACCCAAUCCCC